UACAGAGGGGGCAAGCGUUAUUCGGAAUUAUUGGGCCUAAAGGGCGCGUAGGCGGCUCGCGAGGUCGGGGGUGAAAUCCCACAGCUUAACUGUGGAAGUGCCUUCGAUACCGGCGGGCUCGAGGAAGGUAGGGGUGCGCGGAACUUCUGGUGGAGCGGUGAAAUGCGUUGAUAUCAGAAGGAACGCCGGCGGCGAAAGCGGCGCACUGGACCUUUUCUGACGCUGAGGCGCGAAAGCCAGGGGAGCAAACGGG
rnacentral:rRNA from 1 species